GUGUAGCAGGAAUAGUCAGAGUACAAGAGAGAGCUAAAGGAUUAUAAAUUAUGCUGCCAAAGUGGUAGAAUUGAGUAAAUGGAUCAACCAACUUGUCUGCUACUUAAAGAAAACAUUUAUACAUGAAGUCUUGUUUUGCCUAGUCUUGUUUCCCAGUUCCUACCUUGUCAAUGUAUGAUUUCAUUUAUGAUGAAAUUUAUGAUGUCAUUUCAAACUUCAUUUAUUUUUGUUCUUCCUUUGCAGGAGCCCUUGAAGAAGUUGAAGAGCUACAGUCUGAUGAAUUAAGUAAAGGAAGGCCAAAGGAACCCCAGAUCAAAUCUCAAGGAGAAUUUCAAGGUCAGCAUGGCAAGAAGGGCAAAAAUGGAAGAAAAGGCCAGAAGCAGCAGAAUGGCCCCAGCAGUCAAACUUUCCAAGGAGACCAGGAGCUUGCACAAGGAAAGUCACGUGGUAAAGGUGGCCAAAAAGGCAAAGGCCGGCCAGGGUGGUCAGGGUCAGCAGGGCGGCCAACGUGGAAGAGGCAGACAGGGUGGUCAGCGUGACCAGUGACCAGGAAACCAACUGAAGAUGGCCUCCCUAGGUACUAAUCAUAAUUUUAUUCAAUAAUUAGUGAUUUUUUUCUGUAAAUUUCCUAAUUCUUCAUUCUUGCUUCUAUUCAUUUCUUUCAUUUAAAAUUUUUGAUUUUAAGUUCUGUUAACUCAUUUGCCUAGAUUUGUCCUUGCCACAAUUCUCCUUGUUCCAACUUUACACAUGGAAAAAUUCUCCAUAUUCACAAAGUCUAGUGUUAUAUUCACCUGGAAGAUUUUUCUGACUCUUAUUCAUUGGUCAAUUCAGAACCUCUUCAAGGUAUUCCUUUCUUCUCUUUCUCUUCUCUCCCUUUUCCCUCUUCUAGUCUCCUCCUCCAUCUUCCCUCUCUUCUCUUAAUGUGUUGUCUUAUAAUGAGAAUACUCAAUUAAAGAGAUAUCAGGCAUAGGUCAUAUCCAGGCCAAUUUAUUACUUCUGUCUAAAAUCCUUCUCUUUGUUUCAGAAACCCAUGAAGAUUAAUUGGUGAUCAUGGAUUUGUCAGAAAUGAAAAGUUCUGGCCUUUUCUUUCUCCAACUUUAAAGCAGCAAUAAAAUCAUUAGCAUUCAAAGCUUGGCUCA
rnacentral:lncRNA from 1 species